UUCUCUUUCAUUCUGACCUUAUUUUUUUCGAUCCUUGAAGCAGCAAUUAUCAAAACAUAAUUCUCUUUUCUCUGUUUGCCGCAUCCUUUUCUUUGAUUUUCAUUCUCCGUUCUGAUUCAUAUUAAUUGCUUUUUCUUCUUUUGUUGACAUUGCAGAUGAUAAUAUAUGGAUGCAUGAAGAUAGAAUCAAAGAUGCAAUAUAAAGGUUCCUGUAUAGAUAUUUAUCGCGGUUCUUUCUUUGUUUUCAUGUUCUAUCUUGGAAUUAUUGAUUUUGUUGAUCUUUGGUUUUUGCAGGUUAGGGGUUAUCUCUCAUGUUCUGUAUUGAUUUUGUUAGUAUUUGAUUUUUUUCGGUUGAGGAUUUAUCUUUGUUGGGUUCUGGUGAAGAAAAACAUCAAAAUUUAGGCUCAGAUAAAACCCAUAAAAAGGCGAGUGUUUAUCUAUGUUGUGUUCGGUGUUUAGCUAUUUGUCAUUCAGCAGCCUAUGAUAAUCUCGAACCAAUAGAUCAAUAAAGACAAUCUGAACUCUAGAUUAGAGUUCAAUGGUUGAUUCAUCAUCGUACAUAAUAGACAUAUAAAACAAAUUGUAAUUAUCAGUUUUUUAAGAAAAAAAAAUUCAGAAUACAAAAAACCAAAAAAAAGUCUAAAUUAUCUUUACUUUUGUGACUACUAUUUAUGUUAUGUAUCAAAUUUGCUAAGUUGAUCAGAAUACAAAAAACGAAAAAAAAAGUCUAAAUUAUCUUUACUUUUGUGACUACUAUUUAUGUUAUGUGUCAAAUUUUCUAAGUUGGUUUGAUGUCUUGGCAAGAAUAGAUGAUUCUGUAGUAUGAAGAAGAAUCCAACUUAAAUGUGUGCUACUUAAACUAGCGGCCGAGUUAUUGUUUCUUAAUAGAUUAAAUGUGUCACACCAGUUAAGACCAGUUUCUUCGAAAUUUUGACAGGCAAGUUGGUCUUUCUACACGUCAUUUGAAAUCAAACUAGACGGUACGUGGUAAAACAGAACUACUGACAUAAUCAGAACAGUGCAUUUCAUGUUUUUAAUUUUGAAUUUCGGGCAGAAGUUUUGGGGGAAGAUGACAACAUGAAUUCCGUACUUAACAAAAUUCAUGUAAAUAUGCACAUAUGUUUUGGUGGAUUUAAUGAAAUACAUAUCUAACAACUCAUUGUCUGUUCUUUUGUAGUUUUAAUGCACCAUUGCAACAAGCUUCAAUCCAAAGACAGAGUAUGAAACUUCCAGGUUUGCAAAUGUUGGCUUUAAUUUGUUUCAUACUUCUUCAUUUGUUCUAGAUCCUUUAGUAAUCAAAUAUAUACAAAACAAAAGUAGAAUUGCUAAAGAGAAAGGCAUCAACUGAUAGAGAUGAUAAAGAAGGUAAUCAUCUGUGGAAAUGGAGUUUUCUUUUGGUUUAUCAAAUUUUGUUGUACACAUUCGCGGAAGCGUACAGUACGGUGAAGUAAACUUAUAUGUCAAAUACCGAGUUUUAUUUUAUUUAUUUACUGUACAAUCUUGGUCAAUGAGAUUCCCAUGGUGUACUGGACUAAUAUAAUGCUUUUGUUACAUGCCACUUUUACACAAAUGUAUGCUUUUGUUGCUUUCAUGCUUUUUCAGAAGGUUAUUUAUUGUAACAAAUCUUGGGCUUCUUGGAACCUUAGUAGUUAAAUUUUUUCUGCUUAAUUUGAAUGAGUAUUCAACAUUCAUUUCCACCGUCAUGCACUAAAGAGGUUGGGUCUAUGGAAGCACCCAGUAAAAAGAAAAUCUGUUAUGUGAUGCUUGCAUGAAAAUUGGUUGUAUGGCUCUUCAAGAUGCUGGCGUUCCUGUUAGGGGAUUAAUCGCUGGGAUAAAAAUGGAUUACGGGUAAGAUAGUGGGAACCCAAGAAUCGGUGGAGACAGACAACCACUUAAUCUCUUCGACAUUAUUGGGUUGGAAGACGCGUCUGGAGAUAUGGAAAGGUCUGUUCUACUAAGGUUGCUGGAAAUGAGACGGAUAUUACAGCAUCUUGGUAGUGUUGUUGUUGUUGCAUCGUAUAUUUUGGACCUCCAGUAUAAGAGGAUGACAAUACAAUUCUCUUUCCUUUUCUUAUGGAUGAAUCCCCCUUCAACAACGAAUCUUUCAAGCCACUGUAUAAGUCAUCCAUUAUGUAAAUCUGACCCUCAUUUUUUAAAAUUAUAUCUUGGAUAUUAGAUUUGGUUAUUUUAAAAUU